rnacentral:tRNA from 1 species
GGCCCUCUGGCGCAACGGUAGCGCGUUCGACUCCAGUCCUUAGGAUUCCAUCGAAAGGUUAUCUGUUCAAAUCAGGUGGGGGUCA